UACGUAGGUGGCUAGCGUUGUCCGGAUUUAUUGGGCGUAAAGAGCGUGUAGGCGGCCAGAUAGGUCUGCUGUGAAAACUCGAGGCUCAACCUCGAGAUGUCGGCGGAAACCAUUUGGCUAGAGUCCGGAAGAGGAAAGUGGAAUUCCUGGUGUAGCGGUGAAAUGCGCAGAUAUCAGGAAGAACACCAGUGGCGAAGGCGGCUUUCUGGGACGGUACUGACGCUGAGACGCGAAAGCGUGGGGAGCGAACAGG
rnacentral:rRNA from 1 species